GCUAUCUCCCAAAGAAAAACUAAAAAAAUGGGUGCAGAAGCCAAAAAGCAGAAAAUGGCAGAAGAGGAAAUCGGCAUUGAUGGGAAGCUGGUUAUUUCUGUUGAAAAACUGCAAGAGAUUCAAGACGAACUUGAGAAGAUUAAUGAGAAAGCAAGUGAUGAAGUUUUGGAAAUUGAACAAAAGUACAGUCAUGUCCGCCGACCAGUCUAUGAUAGGCGUAAUGAUAUUAUUAAAGCUAUUCCUGACUUCUGGUUGACAGCUUUCUUGAGUCAUCCUGUUCUUGGGGAACUUCUAACUGAAGAGGACCAUAAGAUUUUCAAGUUCCUAAGUUCGGUCGAAGUGGAAGAAUCUAAGGAUGUGAAAUCGGGUUAUACGAUCACGUUUAACUUCAAUGCAAAUCCUUAUUUUGAAAAUACAAAGCUCUCGAAGAACUAUACCUUUCUUGAAGAUGGACCUACCA
rnacentral:misc_RNA from 1 species